UACGUAGGUGGCAAGCGUUGUCCGGAUUUACUGGGCGUAAAGAGCGCGCAGGCGGUCGAUUUAGUCGCGUGUGAAAGCCCCCGGCUCAACUGGGGAGGGUCACGCGAUACUGAUCGACUCGAAGGCAGGAGAGGGUAGUGGAAUUCCCGGUGUAGUGGUGAAAUGCGUAGAUAUCGGGAGGAACACCAGUGGCGAAGGCGACUACCUGGCCCAUUCUUGACGCUGAGGCGCGAAAGCUAGGGGAGCGAACGGG
rnacentral:rRNA from 1 species